AAAAUAGGAAAAAGCAAUAGUCGAGAAACUAUUCCACUAAAGAUUAACUUUCCAUUCAAUCAGUAUAAUACAAGAACCAUAACUCCAAAUAGAAUAUUGAGAUUCAAAAUGGUCUUUGUUCAGACCAGUUUUUAACAGAUCUGGGAA